GAUGAACGCUGGCGGCGUGCCUAAUACAUGCAAGUCGAGCGAACGGACGAGAAGCUUGCUUCUCUGAUGUUAGCGGCGGACGGGUGAGUAACACGUGGAUAACCUACCUAUAAGACUGGGAUAACUUCGGGAAACCGGAGCUAAUACCGGAUAAUAUUUUGAACCGCAUGGUUCAAAAGUGAAAGACGGUCUUGCUGUCACUUAUAGAUGGAUCCGCGCUGCAUUAGCUAGUUGGUAAGGUAACGGCUUACCAAGGCAACGAUGCAUAGCCGACCUGAGAGGGUGAUCGGCCACACUGGAACUGAGACACGGUCCAGACUCCUACGGGAGGCAGCAGUAGGGAAUCUUCCGCAAUGGGCGAAAGCCUGACGGAGCAACGCCGCGUGAGUGAUGAAGGUCUUCGGAUCGUAAAACUCUGUUAUUAGGGAAGAACAUAUGUGUAAGUAACUGUGCACAUCUUGACGGUACCUAAUCAGAAAGCCACGGCUAACUACGUGCCAGCAGCCGCGGUAAUACGUAGGUGGCAAGCGUUAUCCGGAAUUAUUGGGCGUAAAGCGCGCGUAGGCGGUUUUUUAAGUCUGAUGUGAAAGCCCACGGCUCAACCGUGGAGGGUCAUUGGAAACUGGAAAACUUGAGUGCAGAAGAGGAAAGUGGAAUUCCAUGUGUAGCGGUGAAAUGCGCAGAGAUAUGGAGGAACACCAGUGGCGAAGGCGACUUUCUGGUCUGUAACUGACGCUGAUGUGCGAAAGCGUGGGGAUCAAACAGGAUUAGAUACCCUGGUAGUCCACGCCGUAAACGAUGAGUGCUAAGUGUUAGGGGGUUUCCGCCCCUUAGUGCUGCAGCUAACGCAUUAAGCACUCCGCCUGGGGAGUACGACCGCAAGGUUGAAACUCAAAGGAAUUGACGGGGACCCGCACAAGCGGUGGAGCAUGUGGUUUAAUUCGAAGCAACGCGAAGAACCUUACCAAAUCUUGACAUCCUUUGACAACUCUAGAGAUAGAGCUUUCCCCUUCGGGGGACAAGGUGACAGGUGGUGCAUGGUUGUCGUCAGCUCGUGUCGUGAGAUGUUGGGUUAAGUCCCGCAACGAGCGCAACCCUUAAGCUUAGUUGCCAUCAUUAAGUUGGGCACUCUAAGUUGACUGCCGGUGACAAACCGGAGGAAGGUGGGGAUGACGUCAAAUCAUCAUGCCCCUUAUGAUUUGGGCUACACACGUGCUACAAUGGACAAUACAAAGGGCAGCGAAACCGCGAGGUCAAGCAAAUCCCAUAAAGUUGUUCUCAGUUCGGAUUGUAGUCUGCAACUCGACUACAUGAAGCUGGAAUCGCUAGUAAUCGUAGAUCAGCAUGCUACGGUGAAUACGUUCCCGGGUCU
rnacentral:rRNA from 1 species